UGGGGAGCCGCCAAGUGGUAAGGCACCGGAUUUUGAUUCCGGCAUUCGUAGGUUCGAUCCCUACCUCCCCAGCCA
rnacentral:tRNA from 1 species